rnacentral:rRNA from 1 species
CCUACGGGUGGCAGCAGUGGGGAAUAUUGCACCAUGGGGGAAACCCUGAUGCAGCGACGCCGCGUGAGCGAUGAAGUAUUUCGGUAUGUAACGCUCUAUCAGCAGGGAAGAAAAUGACGGUACCUGACUAAUAAGCCCCGGCUAACUACGUGCCAGCAGCCGCGGUAAUACGUAGGGGGCAAGCGUUAUCCGGAUUUACUGGGGGUAGAGGGAGCGUAGACGGCGAUGCAAGCCAGAUGUGAAAGCCCGGGGCUCAACCCCGGGACUGCAUUUGGAACUGUAUAGCUGGAGUGUCGGAGAGGAAGGCGGAAUUCCUAGUGUAGCGGUGAAAUGCGUAGAUAUUAGGAGGAACACCAGUGGCGAAGGCGGCCUGCUGGACGAUGACUGACGUUGAGGCUCGAAAGCGUGGGGAGCAAACAGGAUUAGAUACCCCAGUAGUC